UACGUAGGGUGCAAGCGUUAAUCGGAAUUACUGGGCGUAAAGCGUGCGUAGGCGGCAAUGUAAGACAGAUGUGAAAUCCCUGGGCUUAACCUAGGAACUGCAUUUGUGACUGCAUUGCUAGAGUGUGGUAGAGGGAGAUGGAAUUCCGCAUGUAGCAGUGAAAUGCGUAGAUAUGCGGAGGAACACCAAUGGCGAAGGCAAUCUCCUGGACCUGCACUGACGCUCAUGCACGAAAGCGUGGGGAGCAAACAGGAUUAGAUACCCUGGUAGUCCACGCCCUAAACGAUGUCAACUGGUUGUUGGGAAGGUAUCUUCUCAGUAACGUAGCUAACGCGUGAAGUUGACCGCCUGGGGAGUACGGCCGCAAGGUUGAA
rnacentral:rRNA from 1 species